UGGGGAAUUUUGGACAAUGGGCGCAAGCCUGAUCCAGCAAUGCCGCGUGCAGGAUGAAGGCCUUCGGGUUGUAAACUGCUUUUGUACGGAGCGAAAAGGUCUGCCCUAAUACGGUGGGCUCAUGACGGUACCGUAAGAAUAAGCACCGGCUAACUACGUGCCAGCGGCCGCGGUAAUACGUAGGGUGCGAGCGUUAAUCGGAAUUACUGGGCGUAAAGCGUGCGCAGGCGGUUAUAUAAGACAGAGGUGAAAUCCCCGGGCUCAACCUGGGAACUGCCUUUGUGACUGCAUAGCUAGAGUACGGUAGAGAGGGAUGGAAUUCCGCGUGUAGCAGUGAAAUGCGUAGAUAUGCGGAGGAACACCGAUGGCGAAGGCAAUCCCCUGGACCUGUACUGACGCUCAUGCACGAAAGCGUGGGGAGCAAACA
rnacentral:rRNA from 1 species